CCUACGGGUGGCAGCAGUAGGGAAUAUUGCUCAAUGGGGGAAACCCUGAAGCAGCAACGCCGCGUGGAGGAUGAAGGUUUUCGGAUUGUAAACCCCUUUUGUUAGAGAAGAUAAUGACGGUAUCUAACGAAUAAGCACCGGCUAACUCCGUGCCAGCAGCCGCGGUAAUACGGAGGGUGCAAGCGUUACUCGGAAUCACUGGGCGUAAAGAGUGCGUAGGCGGGAUAGCAAGUCAGAUGUGAAAUCCUAUGGCUUAACCAUAGAACUGCAUUUGAAACUGUUAUUCUAGAGUAUGGGGGAGGUAGGGGGAAUGCAUGGGGUAGGGGGAGAAACCGGAGAGAUCAAGAGGAAUACUCAUUGCGAAGGCGGCCUGCUAGAACAUAACUGACGGUGAUGCGCGAAAGCGUGGGGAGCAAACAGGAUUAGAUACCCCAGUAGUC
rnacentral:rRNA from 1 species